rnacentral:rRNA from 1 species
UACGUAGGGGGCGAGCGUUGUCCGGAUUUAUUGGGCGUAAAGAGCUCGUAGGCGGCUUGUCACGUCGGAUGUGAAAGCCCGGGGCUUAACUCCGGGUCUGCAUUCGAUACGGGCUGGCUAGAGUGUGGUAGGGGAGAUCGGAAUUCCUGGUGUAGCGGUGAAAUGCGCAGAUAUCAGGAGGAACACCGGUGGCGAAGGCGGAUCUCUGGGCCAUUACUGACGCUGAGGAGCGAAAGCGUGGGGAGCGAACAGG